rnacentral:rRNA from 1 species
AAACUUUCAACAACGGAUCUCUUGGCUCUGGCAUCGAUGAAGAACGCAGCGAAAUGCGAUAAGUAAUGUGAAUUGCAGAAUUCAGUGAAUCAUCGAAUCUUUGAACGCACAUUGCGCCCGCCAGCACUCUGGCGGGCAUGCCUGUCCGAGCGUCAUCC